AUUGAACGCUGGCGGCAGGCUUAACACAUGCAAGUCGAGCGGAGAUGAGGUGCUUGCACCUUAUCUUAGCGGCGGACGGGUGAGUAAUGCUUAGGAAUCUGCCUAUUAGUGGGGGACAACAUUCCGAAAGGAAUGCUAAUACCGCAUACGUCCUACGGGAGAAAGCAGGGGACCUUCGGGCCUUGCGCUAAUAGAUGAGCCUAAGUCGGAGUAGCUAGUUGGUGGGGUAAAGGCCUACCAAGGCGACGAUCUGUAGCGGGUCUGAGAGGAGGAUCCGCCACAAUGGGACUGGGACACGGCCGAGACUCCUGCGGGAGGCAGCAGUGGGGAAUAUUGGACAAUGGGCGGAAGCCUGAUCCAGCCAUGCCGCGUGUGUGAAGAAGGCCUUUUGGUUGUAAAGCACUUUAAGCGAGGAGGAGGCUACUUAGAUUAAUACUCUAGGAUAGUGGACGUUACUCGCAGAAUAAGCACCGGCUAACUCUGUGCCAGCAGCCGCCGUAACAC
rnacentral:rRNA from 1 species